CUUUUCCGGUUACUGCCGCGCGAAGAACCAUGAGCAGCAAAGUCUCCCGCGACACCCUGUACGAGGCGGUGCGGGAAGUCCUGCACGGGAACCAGCGCAAGCGCCGGAAGUUUUUGGAGACGGUGGAACUGCAGAUCAGUCUGAAGAACUAUGACCCUCAGAAGGACAAACGCUUCUCGGGCACCGUCAGGCUUAAGUCCACUCCCCGCCCCAAGUUCUCCGUAUGUGUUUUGGGGGAUCAGCAGCACUGUGAUGAGGCCAAGGCAGGGGAUAUUCCUCACAUGGAUAUUGAGGCGCUGAAGAAACUCAACAAGAAUAAGAAAUUAGUUAAGAAGUUGGCCAAGAAGUAUGACGCCUUUUUGGCCUCAGAAUCUCUGAUCAAGCAGAUUCCACGAAUCCUGGGCCCAGGCCUGAAUAAGGCUGGCAAGUUCCCUUCCUUGCUGACCCACAAUGAAAACAUGGUGGCCAAAGUGGAUGAAGUGAAGUCCACCAUCAAAUUCCAGGUGAAGAAGGUGCUGUGUCUGGCAGUGGCUGUUGGCCAUGUGAAG